UUCAGUCAAACACUCUUAACUCACGUUGAUUUUCAGCCCACACACAACUCACACACACUAACACCUAAAACACACACACCAUUCACGCAUAUACCAUUUUUAGCUUGAGCUCAAGCUUUUGAGCUCCGAUUUGAGCACCGAGAUGAACGCCGAUCAUCUUUUCGAUCACGUAUCUAAGUAGGUCCUUUUGGGAAGUAACGACUUGAGGGAGAGAGUGACGUUACUCAUUGAUACAGAGACACAACGAGGUUGAGCUGAUGUGAUGAUGGUGCUGCAAUGAGCGGAGUCUCCAGGGUUGUUAAUAAAUAGUUAACCUGUCUAGAAUAUGUCUUCAUACAUAUGUCUAGCUACUUUCCGCUGCAAGAUGUUGUUGAUGUUAUAGUAUGUUAUGUCAUACUUUGAGUCUUAAGAGAAUGGUUGCAUAUGAUGUAUAACUUGAUUAAUGAUAUUAAUUAACUUUUAUGCAGUCUUUCAUAGACUGUUUUCAA